rnacentral:rRNA from 1 species
GACGUCGCGAGAAUUCCACCGAACCUUAUCAUUUAGAGGAAGGAGAAGUCGUAACAAGGUUUCCGUAGGUGAACCUGCGGAAGGAUCAUUG